rnacentral:rRNA from 1 species
GAUGAACGCUGGCGGCGUGCCUAAUACAUGCAAGUCGAGCGAACAGAUAAGGAGCUUGCUCCUUUGACGUUAGCGGCGGACGGGUGAGUAACACGUGGGUAACCUACCUAUAAGACUGGAAUAACUCCGGGAAACCGGGGCUAAUGCCGGAUAACAUUUAGAACCGCAUGGUUCUAAAGUGAAAGAUGGUUUUACUAUCACUUAUAGAUGGACCCGCGCCGUAUUAGCUAGUUGGUAAGGUAACGGCUUACCAAGGCAACGAUACGUAGCCGACCUGAGAGGGGGAUCGCCAACACAGGAACGGAAGAGCGGUCCAAACUCCAAGGGGAGGCAGCAGGAGGGAAUCUUCAGAAAGGGGCGAAAGCCUGACGGAGCAACGCCGGGGGAGGGAUGAAGGUCUGCGGACCGUAAACCCCUGUUUUUAGGGAAGAACAAUUGGAAAAGUAAAUGUGGAGGUCUUGGCGGGACCUAGUCGGAAAGCCACGGCGAACUAAGG